rnacentral:rRNA from 1 species
CCACCACAGAAGGUAAUAGUCCUGUAUGUUAAACGAGAAGACUUUAGAUAUGAUCCAGAGUACCACGGGACACGUGAAACCCUGUGGGAAGCAGGAGGGACCACCCUCCAAGGCUAAAUACUACCUAGUGACCGAUAGCGUAUAGUACCGUGAGGGAAAGGUGAAAAGAACCCCGGGAGGGGAGUGAAAUAGAACCUGAAACCCUGCACUUACAAGCUGUGGAAGCACAUUUCUUGUGUGACCGCGUACUUUUUGUAGAACGGGCCAACGAGUUACGUUAAGUAGCAAGGUUAAGCACUUAAGGUGCGGAGCCGUAGCGAAAGCGAGUUUUAACUGAGCGUUCAGUUACUUGACGUAGACCCGAAACCGGGCGACCUACCCAUGAGCAGGAUGAAGCGAAAGUAAAAUUUCGUGGAGGUCCGAACCCACGAGCGUUGAAAAGCUCGGGGAUGACUUGUGGGUAGCGGUGAAAUUCCAAUCGAGCCCGGAGAUAGCUGGUUCUCCCCGAAAUAGCUUUAGGGCUAGCCUCAAGGUGAGAGAUACGGAGGUAGAGCACUGAAUGUCCUAGGGGGUAUUGCACCUACCGAAGACUAUCAAACUCCGAAUGCCGUCAUCUUAUACUUGGGAGUCAGACUGUGGGUGAUAAGAUUCAUAGUCGAAAGGGCAACAGCCCAGAUCGUCAGCUAAGGUCCCUAAAUGUAAGUUAAGUGGUAAAGGAUGUGGGAUUGCACAGACAACCAGGAUGUUGGCUUAGAAGCAGCCACUCAUUCAAAGAGUGCGUAAUAGCUCACUGGUCGAGUGAUCCUGCGCCGAAGAUUUCCGGGGCUAAAACUUACUACCGAAGCUACGGCAUCAGUAAUGAUGGGUAGGGGAGCUUCCCAUACGGGUUGAAGCAUGACCGUAAGGACAUGUGGACAGUAUGGGAGUGAGAAUGUUGGCAUGAGUAGCGAGAUGUGGGUGAGAAUCCCACAGGCCGUAAACCCAAGGUUUCCAGGGGAAGGUUCGUCCGCCCUGGGUUAGUCGGGACCUAAGCUGAGGCCGAAAGGCGUAGGUGAUGGACAACAGGUUGAUAUUCCUGUACUACCGAUAACCGUUUGAGAGAAGGGAUGACACAGUAGGAUAAGCUAAGCACACUGUUGGUUAUGUGUGCCCAAGCAUUGAGGCAGUCAAAGUAGGCAAAUCCGCUUUGAUAAUGCUGGGAUGUGAUGGGGAGCGAAAUUUAGUAGCGAAGUAGCUGAUUUCACACUGUCAAGAAAAGUCUCUAUCGAGGUUAAAGGUACCCGUACCGCAAACCGACACAGGUGGGUGAGGAGAGUAUCCUAAGGCCAGCGAGAGAACUGUUGUUAAGGAACUCGGCAAAAUGACCCCGUAACUUAGGGAUAAGGGGUGCCACCAUCAGGUGGCCGCAGAGAAUAGGCCCAAGCGACUGUUUACCAAAAACAUAGGUUUCUGCUAAGUCGCAAGACGAUGUAUAGGAGCUGACGCCUGCCCGGUGCUGGAAGGUUAAGGGGAUCUGUUAGAGCAAUCGAAGCAGUGAACUUAAGCCCCAGUAAACGGCGGCCGUAACUAUAACGGUCCUAAGGUAGCGAAAUUCCUUGUCGGGUAAGUUCCGACCCGCACGAAAGGCGUAACGAUUUGGGCACUGUCUCAACAACAGACUCGGUGAAAUUGUAAUUCCGGUGAAGAUGCCGGAUACCUGCGACAGGACGGAAAGACCCCAUGGAGCUUUACUGUAGCUUGACAUUGGGUCUUGGUACUACAUGUACAGGAUAGGUGGGAGGCUUUGAAACCAGGACGCCAGUUUUGGCGGAGCCAUCCUUGGGAUACCACCCUUGUAGUACUGGGACUCUAACCAUAGGCCAUGAAUCUGGUCUUGGGACACUGUCAGGUGGGCAGUUUGACUGGGGCGGUCGCCUCCCAAAAGGUAACGGAGGCGCUCAAAGGUUCUCUCAGUACGGUCGGAAAUCGUACGUAGAGUGUAAAGGCAAAAGAGAGCUUGAUUGCAAGACAUACAGGUCGAGCAAGGAUGAAAAUCGGACUUAGUGAUCCGGUGGUUCUGCGUGGAAGGGCCAUCGCUCAACGGAUAAAAGCUACCCUGGGGAUAACAGGCUUAUCUCCCCCAAGAGUCCACAUCGACGGGGAGGUUUGGCACCUCGAUGUCGGCUCAUCACAUCCUGGGGCUGUAGUAGGUCCCAAGGGUUGGGCUGUUCGCCCAUUAAAGUGGUACGCGAGCUGGGUUCAGAACGUCGUGAGACAGUUCGGUCCCUAUCCGUCGCAGGCGUAGGAAAUUUGAGAAGACCUGUCCUUAGUACGAGAGGACCGGGAUGGACGUACCUCUGGUGUACCAGUUGUCCUGCCAAGGGCAUGGCUGGGUAGCUAUGUACGGAAUGGAUAAGCGCUGAAAGCAUCUAAGCGCGAAGCCAACUUCAAGAUAAGAUUUCCCACCGCAAGGGUAAGACCCCAGAAAGACUAUCUGGUUGAUAGGUCGAAGGUGUAAGUGCAGCAAUGUAUUUAGCUUAUCGAUACUAAUAGGUC